CGGAAGUAUUGGAGCCGGAGAUCCCUGCGGGUGCUCUUGCGCAGCGAGCGCGCGGGGCUGAGGGCGGGGCUCGCCGGGGUGCCCCAGCGCGGGCGAGAGCUCUGCACAGACCCGGAAUACCCGUACGUCGGCGGAGUCCCGCGGUGCUGUUCCUUCUUGCGGGCGGCCCGGGCGGGGCUCCCCAGGAGAGGAGAGGGGUCCCGGGGGGCGGGCGCCCGCGGACCGGCAGCCCGAGGGGAGGCUGGCACGGAGGUGAACACCUGCCUGGUUGGUGCCUGCCGCGAGACAGUCGGCCUGGUACAGCGAGCCGCAGCCUUGACCCCAAACCGCCCCACCGCAGACUGCCGGAGCCAAGGGACCCUUUGAGAGGACCCCUGCUCCACAAGGGCCUGUGGGCAGCUCCUGCCAAGAGUGGGGCGCGCCGUCUGGGGAGGGGGCCUGGCUCCAGUCUCGCCACCUCCCAAAGGCAGACCUUCAGCAAUGAACUUUUCAGAGGAAAAAAUGGAAAAGAAUAGGUUUAGGUGGGGAGCUGAAAAUGAAAGCAACACACUCAUGGCUGAUCCUGCCCAGGAAGAGAUGGAGAUAUUUAAAGCAACAAAUGGGGUACACUCUGGCUGAGGGGCUGGUACCCACCCUGAAUCCAAAACCAGGUGGGAGUCCAUGGUGGAUGGGGCAUGCCAGAAAAGAUGGAAAAGUGAAGCAAGGCCACAAGGAGCAAGAUGAGUGGACCAACAACCCCUGGGCACUUUGGUGGCCCACAGCCCUUCCCCCCGAGGGUAUUACUGCCAUGUAUUUUAAUUCUACAUAAACUCACACACAUAUUGCAAAAGA